AAAUUGAAGAGUUUGAUCAUGGCUCAGAUUGAACGCUGGCGGCAGGCCUAACACAUGCAAGUCGAACGGUAACAGAAAGCAGCUUGCUGCUUUGCUGACGAGUGGCGGACGGGUGAGUAAUGUCUGGGAAACUGCCUGAUGGAGGGGGAUAACUACUGGAAACGGUAGCUAAUACCGCAUAAUGUCGCAAGACCAAAGAGGGGGACCUUCGGGCCUCUUGCCAUCGGAUGUGCCCAGAUGGGAUUAGCUUGUUGGUGGGGUAACGGCUCACCAAGGCGACGAUCCCUAGCUGGUCUGAGAGGAUGACCAGCCACACUGGAACUGAGACACGGUCCAGACUCCUACGGGAGGCAGCAGUGGGGAAUAUUGCACAAUGGGCGCAAGCCUGAUGCAGCCAUGCCGCGUGUAUGAAGAAGGCCUUCGGGUUGUAAAGUACUUUCAGCGGGGAGGAAGGG
rnacentral:rRNA from 1 species